AAUAUUGGACAAUGGGGGCAACCCUGAUCCAGCCAUGCCGCGCGUGUGAAGAAGGNCUNNGGAGUNUNAAGCACUUUAAGUUGNNNNNAAGGGCUUUGGGUGAAUACCCUGAAGUUUUGACGUUACCAUCAGAAUAAGCAACGGCUCACUCUGUGCCAGCAGCCGCGGUAAUACAGAGGGUGCAAGCGUUAACCGGAAUUACUGGGCGUAAAGCGCGCGUAGGUGGUGCAGUAAGAUGAGUGUGAAAUCCCCGGGCUUAACCUGGGAACUGCUUUCAUAACUGCUGAGCUAGAGUACGGUAGAGGGUAGUGGAAUUUCCUGUGUAGCGGUGAAAUGCAUAGAUAUAGAAAGGAACACCAGUGGCGAAGGCGACUACCUGGACUGAUACUGACACUGAGGUGCGAAAGCGUGGGGAGCAAAC
rnacentral:rRNA from 1 species